rfam:Trichoderma harzianum strain T6776 Scaffolds0452.1, whole genome shotgun sequence.
UGGCGCAAUUGGCUAGCGCGUCUGACUGUUAAUCAGGAGGUUGGAAGUUCGAGCCUUCCCGGAGGAG